GGGUGAAGGUCUCAGGGAGGCGGUGAGGCCUGUCGCAGCUUGUUGCAAUGAGGACUAUCCCAGAAGGCAACACAAAGAGUGCAAACUUAAAACAGCCCUGCGAGAUGUUAUUCCAGCCAGAGUGGAAACCGAUACAUUGCUGCACGAUCCACUUAGCGUCGUGGAGGAGACGGGCCAAGUGACUGAAAUCGAGCAGCGAUGUGGAAGCACAGGACUCUGAUCCCACCUCCGUGCCUCGUGCUGCUGUGCGCCAUCGGACUGGCUCAGGAGUUAAUGGAGCUGCACGUCUCUUCACAUUUGGAUAACCAGGGCAACUGGAGUUUGCACUGUAACAUCUCUUCAGCUGAGUCACUCAUCAUCGAGCACUGGGUCUGGCUGGAUCCAGCAGACACAGAACUGUGCAGAGUCAAUGACUCGCAGCCUGUUUCCGGUCCAUGUGAAUAUGUGCCACAGAAGCAGCUGACGCUCAGCUUGGAUACUGUCAAGCCGCGAAACGCAGGCAACUACACCUGCAGAAUUUUGUCUAGCAGAGGUAUGAAAUUAGCCAUGGUGGGAGUCAAGAUCGUCCCGACGUCCAACCAAGAACCACUAAGAAGAGGCACCACCAGCUCUGUGUGUGGCCCUCGGCUGCCGUGGGUCGGACUGCUGGUCAUCCUGCUGAUGAUGUGAGAUGACAGGUGUGUGAUUGGGAGAGCAAUUCAGCCUGUUAAAGUACCUCACCUGCAAGUAAGGUUGAGUGCGAUGUGUACUAACCAACAGGAGUAAACGGCAUGUGACUCAUUUACUUUGACCAGAGAUGUUUCUAGCUAUUAUAAAAAAAAUCAGGGGCUAAGUCAAGUUUACCUAAGGUUUGACUUCCUUGUUUUUUAAGGAGGACUGUUUUUAAGGAGGACUGGCUUCGGGGCUAAAAUACUCUGUUCUGGAACCUAAUGAUGCUCGUGGUUUUGACUCAUGCGUACUGUCACUGUCUUUAAUUGUUAUGCCAUUUGAUUGAAUACACCUCAAACCUGUAUGAAUCACACUAGCUCUGCCACUCACACUUUAAAGACAACAAUCUUAGGUUAAACCUUAGUUGACAACAAGCAUAAACUCAUUUCAACUGCUGACUCAGUAGUUACCUGCUGAGAACUAUCGGCAAGUCAUUUACAAUACAUACAACAUAUUUUAAACGCUUUGUGUGAUUUUAGGUGGCUAGUUACCGCUUCCUACUUAGAUGGGUGUCUUGAGGGAAGCUUACAGGUAUUUCGAACAAGAACUUUGCCAGCGGCGACUUCUACUGCCCCCUGGUGGCAAACCAGUUAAACUGCAGCUUUUGUUUUUAUUUACGUUAACAGGAGAAGCCAGCCAAGUGAGGGGUAAAACCACAGCUGAUCUCUCACAGAAACAGACAAUGGGCAAUUGUUUGUGGUACUUAAUCGGAAGUCAGCUUCUUCCUUCAAUGCAUAUGUAUAGCACACAGCUGCACUGGAAUGCGGCCUACCUAUAGCAUUGCUCAUUUUUUUAUAGUUUGAACCUAGUUCAAAAAUUUCCCUCUGGGAUCAAUAAAUACCAUCUAAUGUAGAUGUCUCCCCACAAUUUUCCUGUGGCCGUUAACAAGGUAUUUUCAGCAAGAGUGAUGUUGGCAGGAUGUUUUAAUGCGUAUUGCUUUCAACACUGUAAUAUGUGUAAAUGCCAGGAACGCGACUGUUUCUGAGAUGCUGGGACCACUGGGGAAAACAGCACUGUCACCUAUCAGAGUAAUUUACAACUAAAUGCUGAAUUUGUUCUAAUAAAGUUUUCUUUUCUGUUUUUUAAAUCGGUGCCAUAACUGUGACAUAACUGACUAUGUUACACAUGCCCAGUAGUGACUACCUUUGUUUGAGCUUCUGCGCAUUUGUGCCAAAAACACUCUUUAAGAUAAUGAAAGAUGUGUUUUGGGGGUCAGGUUCUGUCCUCAUAGAGAAAUAAAGAUAUUGCAGCCUAAAA